AUACUUGCCUGGCAGGGAAGAUACCGUGAUCACAAAGGUGGUUUUCCCAGCGCAAGGUUUAUCCAUUGCACUCCAGGUGGGCUGACCCCUGUGAUUUUGCCAAAUGUGGAAAAUGGACUGAAUAAUUUGUGGUGGAGGAGACUAUGUUCAGACUGUCCCCUC
rnacentral:snRNA from 1 species